GGGCAGAUUGCAGAGGUCUUGAAAAAGAAGGAUCAACACUGCAAAUAUUGACUCUUUGCAUCAACUUCAUGUAAUUGUCAAUAAAAGCCUUUGACACUCAAGAAAUGCUUGUGAUUAUACUUCAGUAUUCCAUAGUAACAUCUGACAAAAAUAUCUAAGACACUGAAGCACCAAACUUUGUGGAAAUUAAUAUUUGUGUCAUUCUCAAAACUUUUGGCCACGACUGUACAGUACAGCAUCUGUCUAUGUUUUCACCUAUGGUUUUUGUCCUCCCAGGAGGGCUCCCACUACUACUACCCCACCAGUGACUACCACCCCUCUCUCUACCCCCACCCAGAGGGAGCACAAGGGCAAGAUGUCCGCUGCUACCCACUAGAGCCCAUAGGCCAUGAGUAUGAGGAGGUGAGAGACUGGGGCAUGUAUCAGGACGUGUUGGGGUUGUCUCUCCCACUGCCUCCUUCCCAGUUUGACCCCUGGUUACCAGAGCAGAGGCAAGAGUGGAGACCACCCCCACCCAGUUACCCUCAGGGAAGUGGGAGGGGCUUGACUGACCCACAGCAGCCAAUCAGAAGGAAGGAUCCGGUGGUUGAGCGACGCCCAGAGAAAAACAACUAUGAUUUACCUUUUGAGCUCAGAGGACAGUUAGUUUAGGAAGCUUAAGCCUUGAUUCCAGAUUGUGGAGAAUACCUCAGACUAAAAUACAAACUCGUAGUGCUGUGCUGGUAUUGAGUACGAUAUGAAUAGGAAGCCUUUCAACUGAUCAAAAUGUUACUACAAAAGGUACAAUAUUUACAGUAGGUGAUGUUGUGGGACAGUCAAUCAAUACAAAUUAGGCCUCCCGUUGAUCCAAAGACGUAAAAUGUAAAAGACGAAGCAACAAAACAUGCAGAGUUUUUCUUACAGAUGUUUUUAGUAACAAUUGACUAUACUCUACUGUACAAAUAAAAUGUCAAGGAUAAUCUAGUCCUAGGCCUAACUGAUACACAAUUCCAACAUGCCUCCAGUGUUUUUAUACAGAUACAUGUCAUAUCCAAAAUCUUUCUCCAACAAGAGCCUUUACUGGAAAUGUCACUCCAGCAAGAUGAGAGGUGAAAAAGCAGUAGCCACUCUUAACCUCUCUGGGAUCGUUCGGGACGCUCCCAUCUCGCCAACAGCCAGUGAAAGUGCAGGGCACCAAAUUCAAAACAACAGAAAUCUCAUAAUUAAAAUUCCCCAACCAUACAAGUAUUUUACACCAUUUUAAAGAUCCACUUCUCGUUAAUCCAACCAAAGGCUUUUCUGCGAAAGCAGAACAUAUCAUUAUGUUAGGUCAGCAACUAGUCACAGAAAGCAUUCAGCCAUUUUCCAACCAAAGAGAGGUGUCACAAAAAGCAGAAAUAUAGAUAAAAUGAAUCACUAACCUUUGACGAUCUUCAUCAGAUGACACUCCCAGGACUCAAUUUUCACAAUACAUGUAUGUUUUGUUCAAUCAAGUUCAUAUUUAUAUCCAAAAACUACAGUUUACAUUGGCGCCAUGUUCAGAAAUGCCUCCAAAACAUCUGGAGAAAUUGCAGAGAGCCACAUCAAAUAACAGAAAUACUCAUCAUAAACUUUGAAAGACACAUGUUUUACAUAGAAUUAAAGAUAAACUUGUUCUUAACUUCUUAUGGGCAGGUGGGACGGUAGCGUCAUUGGCAUUCAUAUUACAUUACGUUGCAAUAAUAUUGUCAAAUCUAUAUACUUGGACUUUGAUUUAGCUUUUCCAGUAUUAGUAGCCAUAUUAUAAGUUCAACAUUUGUAAAACAACCAGUUUUCAUAACUCUGAAUAUUCUUAUAAUUUUUGUCCAAAAGGAAAAGGCAUGCUGUCGCAAAAGGUUAGCACCUACAUUUUGCGACAGACACUGGAUACUCCCAUAAAGCCCAGCUCAUUGGCUAUCUAGCUAGCUUUGUUUGACCCAGAUUGGUGCUUAUUUGACAAAGAUAUAGUUGAUCAAAUGAAGACCGGCCACGUCAUCGGUCUUCAUUACGUUCUAGGAUCUCUCGAGGAAUACAUACGAACGUGAUUUGCCUGGUUGCAAUUACGUUUAGGGUUAGAUUUUUACAGAUCUUUCUUUGGAAAUUGAACGAGUGGAAAUACAAAAUAGAUCGUGCAUGCUAUAUGGACCUUUUUAGGAUAUGAAUUUUUUUUAAAAGUCAAAAACGACACUUCAUGUUAUCUCUCGGACCCUUUGGAUGAUAAAUCAGAGCAAUAUUUCAGAAUGUAAGUGUACAUUUCACCUUCAGAGAUGAAUUUAUCAAACCUAUCGCGAUGAAAAAAUGUUUUGUUGUUAGGUAAUAGCUCAUGUAAAUUGGACAGUGUAGUUAAUUUAACAAGAAUUUAAGCUUAUAUAAGGCACUUAUAUGUACCGACAUUUGUUGUUUCUCUAAAAAUCUGCAAUGGUCACAAAUGGCGCUGCAUGAUUUUACAACUGUCCCGUUGACGUCGAUCCCUCAAUCACCAGAAAAUAUACUUCCCUGUUGAUAUCAUAUACAUUAUCAAGCAUUUCACACAUAUUAUCCAGAUGCUGACUGUUAGCACUUGGUGGUCUAUAGCAGCUUCCCACAAGAAUGGGCAUUAGGUGAGGCAGAUGAACCUGUAGCCAUAUUACUUCAACAUUGUUUAACAUGAGAUCCUCUCGAAUAUUUACAGGAAUGUGGUUUUCACGUUCUGACCUUUAUUUCCUUUGUUUUGUCUUUAUUUAGUAUGGUCAGGGUGUGAGUUGCGGUGGGCAGUCUGUGUGUUUUUAUAUGUUGGGGUUUUGAGUUCAGCCUAGUAUGGUUCUCAAUCAGAGGCAGGUGUCAUUAGUUGUCUCUGAUUGAGAAUCAUACUUAGGUAGCCUGGGUUUCACUUUUGAGUUGUGGUUGUUUGUUGCCACUCGGUACUGUUUCGGUUUCGUUCAUUUCACGUUUAUUGUUUUGUAGUGUUCAGUUUAUGUCUGUAAAUAAACGUUAUGGACACUUACCAUGCUGCGCAUUGGUCCUCCGAUCCUAUUGGUCCUCCGAUCCUUCUCGCUACUCCUCCUCUUCUGAGGAAAGCCGUUAUAGUGGUUCUGAAUAUAAACUGCAACACCGCCUCCGUUGGCAUUUGUCUUUUCGGUACAUGUUAUAACCAUGUAUUGCUACCACUGUAUCAUCAAAGUGUUACGCACGCCUCUAUGAAGA
ensembl:lncRNA